rnacentral:lncRNA from 1 species
GAAAGAUUGUAUGGUAUCAACAGCUCAAAUAACAAUGGGGGCUUGUGGCCUUCCUGUAUUUCCAUCAAGAAAAUAAAUGUAUUUCCAUCAAGAACUCACUAUUACUUUUCUGGAAAAUACCAGUAAUUCAAGAGCUAAUAGUAACCGUGAAGAGCUUUCCCCAGAAAAGAUGAUCUUGUCCCAGAAAACCUACAGCUUAGGCAUACAACAAAUAAAUUGAUGUAAGAAGCUACUUUGGAGCCUCUGAAGGGAAAUGAACUGGACAGAAGAGUAGAGGAUAAUAGGUAAUAAUAGAAAUGGCACUCAAUGUAACUACUCUGUCACAAUCUCAUCUUUCUUCCAGAAAGACCUGCCUGUUUUUGCCCAUCCAGUUUUUGGGAUUCUUCCUACAUCUUCUGGAGUCAUUAAACCUUUCAUAGUUCAAUAAGUGAAAGAAAAGUUUAUUGUAUCCUUCUCUAAAUGAAAGGUUUGGAGUGAGGCAUGGAGAUGUGAAGAAGAGAUAAUGAACUCUCUUUAAAGAGCAGAAGGAAAAAUUGCUUUACUCUUGGCUUAAACAUGACUUUAAGCCAGCCCAGAACUCCAAUCAUUCUCUGUGCUUCAGUAGUCCAGGGAAAGCACCUG